UUUCAAAUUUUAACCAGAUGCUCCGCAGGGCGUAGCUUUAUACGACCGCAGAGGUUGAACCCUGAACGGUUAGGGCAAGUAUGGACACAACAUUCAAGCUGGAUUCAGCUCUAAAUUUGGAUUGUGAUUAAAUAGUUGACACAGCAUAGGUUUCUGACACAGAAUGAAUGUGUUCUAAUGAACUUAAAAUUUUUGUUUCUCUUAGAGCAAUUCACUAUGCUGUUGAAUAUUAA
rnacentral:lncRNA from 1 species